rnacentral:lncRNA from 1 species
GGCGGGGCCCUGUGUGAAGCAGGGGUGCAGGCUCAGCUCACCUUGGGCGGGCUGAGCAAUGGGUGAGGACAGCGUGCACCCCUGACAGUUCUGCAGAAAGUGGGACAAAGGAUAUCUAAAUAGUGGUGGUCAUUUGCCUGACCCUGUGGACUUACCGAGGAGCCUAUUCCUCUCAUCGUUUUGUGAUAGUUUUGAAAUUCGGCAUAUAUGAAAAGUCAGCUGGGGAGAUAGUAACAGCCUGAGACUUGCAGUGGCACGGAGCCUUGAGGAUUUGUCAGAUUCUCCAGGCAGAUUACACAGCAGUGCUGGCUCUCAUCAUUUCUGUGGAAGUGAACCAGAGUUCUCCCUCCCGCCCGGGUCCGGCUCUGGACCUGCUAACCAGUCUCUCCCUGGUCCCUCUCCCCUCCCCUGCCCACCCUUGGUAACCACCCU